rnacentral:rRNA from 1 species
CGGAUUGUAGGCUGCAACUCGCCUACAUGAAGCUGGAAAAUUCGCUAGUAAUCGUGGAUCAGCAUGCCACGGUGAAUACGUUCCCGGGUCUUGUACACACCGCCCGUCACACCACGAAAGUUUGUAACACCCAAAGUCGGUGGGGUAACCGUAAGGAGCCAGCCGCCUAAGGUGGGACAGAUGAUUGG